rnacentral:rRNA from 1 species
UACGGAAGGUCCUGGUGUUAUCCGGAUUUAUUGGGUUUAAAGGGAGCGUAGGCCGUCAGGCAAGCGUGUUGUGAAAUGUCGUGGCUCAACCAUGGACUUGCAGCGCGAACUGCCCGACUUGAGUGCGCGGAAAGCAGGCGGAAUUUGUGGUGUAGCGGUGAAAUGCUUAGAUAUCACGAAGAACCCCGAUUGCGAAGGCAGCCUGCUGUAGCGCUACUGACGCUGAAGCUCGAAAGUGCGGGUAUCGAACAGGAUUAGAUACCCUGGUAGUCCGCACGGUAAACGAUGGAUGCCCGCUGUUCGGUCUACGGACCGAGCGGCUAAGUGAAAACGUUAAGCAUCCCACCUGGGGAGUACGCCGGCAACGGUGAAACUCAAAGGAAUUGACGGGGGCCCGCACAAGCGGAGGAACAUGUGGUUUAAUUCGAUGAUACGCGAGGAACCUUACCCGGGCUUGAAUUGCAGAGGAAAGAUCCAGAGAUGGUGAUGCCCUUCGGGGCUUCUGUGAAGGUGCUGCAUGGUUGUCGUCAGCUCGUGCCGUGAGGUGUCGGCUUAAGUGCCAUAACGAGCGCAACCCCUAUUUUCAGUUGCCAUCAGAUUAAGCUGGGCACUCUGGAGAGACUGCCGCCGCAAGGUGUGAGGAAGGCGGGGAUGACGUCAAAUCAGCACGGCCCUUACGUCCGGGGCUACACACGUGUUACAAUGGCCGGUACAACGAGAAGGCUGCCCGCAAGGUCAGUCAAAUCCUGAAAACCGGUCUCAGUUCGGACUGGAGUCUGCAACCCGACUCCACGAAGCUGGAUUCGCUAGUAAUCGCGCAUCAGCCAUGGCGCGGUGAAUACGUUCCCGGGCCU